UACGAAGGAUGCAAGCGUUAUCCGGAUUUAUUGGGUUUAAAGGGAGCGUAGGCGGUCUUAUAAGUCAGUGGUGAAAUCUCGUUGCUUAAACAACGACCGUGCCAUUGAUACUGUAGGACUUUGAGUACAGUUGCCGUUGGCGGAAUGUGUCAUGUAGCGGUGAAAUGCAUAGAUAUGACACAGAACACCGAUUGCGAAGGCAGCUGACGAAACUGUAACUGACGCUGAGGCUCGAAAGCGUGGGGAUCAAACAGG
rnacentral:rRNA from 1 species